CAGGCCUAACACAUGCAAGUCGAACGAGACCUUCGGGUCUAGUGGCGCACGGGUGCGUAACGCGUGGGAAUCUGCCCUUGGGUUCGGAAUAACAGCUAGAAAUGGCUGCUAAUACCGGAUGAUGACGUAAGUCCAAAGAUUUAUCGCCCAAGGAUGAGCCCGCGUAGGAUUAGCUAGUUGGUGGGGUAAAGGCCCACCAAGGCGACGAUCCUUAGCUGGUCUGAGAGGAUGAUCAGCCACACUGGGACUGAGACACGGCCCAGACUCCUACGGGAGGCAGCAGUGGGGAAUAUUGGACAAUGGGCGAAAGCCUGAUCCAGCAAUGCCGCGUGAGUGAUGAAGGCCUUAGGGUUGUAAAGCUCUUUUACCCGGGAUGAUAAUGACAGUACCGGGAGAAUAAGCUCCGGCUAACUCCGUGCCAGCAGCCGCGGUAAU
rnacentral:rRNA from 1 species